GGAGGGGUGGGGAUUAGGAGGCUGGUGCGUUAGCUGAAUCGUCUCAAAACAUUUGUGUUGCUGUACCGCUAUUGUGUUCCUCCGCCAAAGCAGAUGAAGACAAAGUAGAGCUCUCUUUCAGGAUGUGGAAGUUUUAGUAAGAAAGAGGGAGGACACGUGCGCGUGGAUUAUGCGUUAUGGAGAAAGGCUGAAGUCUUGUGUGGUGUCAUGGCAGGACUGAAAUAUUUAUUGUUGGUUCUGUGCUGCAGUAGUUACAUAAUUCAUCACAUAACCCCGUGCACAAUCACUGUCCAAAAACAUGUGGCACCUUUUUAGAUGGAUUUAUACAUGCAAACUAUUGGUAAACAAGGUACUGUUGAAAUUGACCUUAGUUUUUCUACGUGUUUUCAUUUGCGUUGCUGUGGGUUUAAGAACAGCAUGUUGACAAAUCUUAAAAUUGUCAGAUGAAUUAUGUUUUAAGUAUAAAAAACAAAAUGUAAUACAUAAUGACAAAAGCGGUUUCAUAUCGCCAUAGUUACAUAAAGAACUUUUACUUUUCUAUACAUUUGAUUUUGCAUUUACACCAGAAACGCUGCAGGUCAGGUUAACUAAGUUGGGCACUUGCAUGUUAGGAAAUCCAGCUCCUUAGCUUUACGAUACCUAAUAACAGAAUAAUUCAAAUAUUUUCCGCUCAUUUUUAAUAACCGAACCGAUGGUAAAAAAGUCAAUCAAGUAAUAUGUCAUCGCUUUCCAAAAAUAUAUAUGGUAACCCAAAAAUUAACGAGGCUUUACAAUGAAGUAAAACGAAGUAAUCAAACUUUCGUGCAAAUCUAAAUAUGCUGCAACAGGCUGUGUAGAAAAUGUAUGAAUUCUGCUUUUUACCUUUUUUUCUUGUUCCGAGAGACACUCAUAGAAGAGCUGAGACGGAGCACUUUGAGAGACUGUAUCUUUCUAGAUAGUAUCGGGGCCCGAAAGUGCAGGAGAUUUGUAAGAAAUGGCAACGUAACCGCACAAUUAUGAACCGAUUUGCUGCAUGAGUGGAAACAGAGCUUGUUGGAAGACACCGCAGUUUUAGCAAGGCUGAUGUUUGCUGAAGAUGCGUUGUCAAAUGCCUCGUUGAAACCAUUCACACGGAAGUUCUGCGAUUUUCUGUUUGACUUGGACUUGCAUGGGGUUGAGACCUAGGACUCAAGACAUUGAAAUGUUCUCGUGGUUAUCUUAGUAAUCGCCUUUCUCUCGGGAGGUAAGGAUCGCGGAAAAGGGGUCAAAUCAGAGGCUCGAAGGAUGAUGGCAACAACAUGACCCCCAGUGAGAAUAUACCGGUCAGAUAUCGGAGACAUCACUGAAGCGGGACAGCAAGAACCAGCCCGGUUCACGAUUUUCCGCUCAGAUUCUUCUGAGCAAUGUGGAAUCAUCGAGUACAGGAUCGACAGCGUGAGAUAAAGAAAAAACACCUGCACUCCCAUGCACAUGAAACGUAGCGCGGGAAGACAAUAAAGAAACCCUUUUUUGUAUUUGUAUUGGCCACUGGUUUUCUAUUUUUGUUAAGUGAAAUUUGGGGGUCCUAGCAGCCAAAGGUAUUAUUGAAAAGUAGUCGCGAUUUUUUCUUUUUGGGCUCAGGGUGCUGCAUAUAACAAUUGACAUUUGAAUGUGUUUCUUCAGUAAAAGACGUAUCUUUCUUUUUUAGGUGAGCAAGUCUUAUAUAUUCAUUUAGGAAAUAUCCUCACUAUGGAAUUCGAAUUUACAUAUGUUUUUGUUUGUACAGUAUAUAUUGAUAUACAGUUUGUACAGUAUAUAUUGAUUACUUCAUUUCUCUUAGUCCUUAUGAUCUCUAGGGGCGCAA
rnacentral:lncRNA from 1 species